UUUUGGACAAUGGGCGAAAGCCUGAUCCAGCAACGCCGCGUGCAGGAUGAAGGCCUUCGGGUUGUAAACUGCUUUUGUACGGAACGAAACGGUUCUCCUUAAUACGGGGGGCUAAUGACGGUACCGUAAGAAUAAGCACCGGCUAACUACGUGCCAGCAGCCGCGGUAAUACGUAGGGUGCGAGCGUUAAUCGGAAUUACUGGGCGUAAAGCGUGCGCAGGCGGUUAUAUAAGACAGAUGUGAAAUCCCCGGGCUCAACCUGGGCCCCGCAUUUGUGACUGUAUAGCUAGAGUACGGUAGAGGGGGAUGGAAUUCCGCGUGUAGCAGUGAAAUGCGUAGAUAUGCGGAGGAACACCGAUGGCGAAGGCAAUCCCCUGGACCUGUACUGACGCUCAUGCACGAA
rnacentral:rRNA from 1 species